rnacentral:rRNA from 1 species
GUAACGACGUGGGUAACCUGCCCUGGCAGCCCGGGAUACCCUCUCGAAAGGGAGGCUAAUACUGGAUACGUUCCCCGAAUCGAAGGAUCUGGGGAGGAAAGGUGGCGAAAGCUGCCGCUCUUGGAGGGGCUCGCGGCCUAUCAGCUAGUUGGUGAGGUGAUGGCUCACCAAGGCGAUGACGGGUAGCUGGUCUGAGAGGACGACCAGCCACACGGGGACUGAGACACGGCCCCGACUCCUACGGGAGGCAGCAGUGGGGAAUUUUCCGCAAUGGGCGAAAGCCUGACGGAGUGACGCCGCGUGGGGGACGAAGGCCUUCGGGUUGUAAACCCCUGUCAGAGGGAAAGAAGGAUGUCGGAGCGAUAACCUCCGUCAUCUGACGGUACCUUCAGAGGAAGCCCCGGCCAACUCUGUGCCAGCAGCCGCGGUAAGACAGAGGGGGCAAGCGUUGCUCGGAAUCACUGGGCGUAAAGGGCGCGUAGGCGGGGGGGCAAGUCGGUCGUGAAAUCCUUCGGCUCAACCGAAGAACGUCGGCCGAUACUGCCUCUCUUGAGGGAUGCAGAGGAGACUGGAAUUCCCGGUGUAGCGGUGAAAUGUGUAGAGAUCGGGAGGAACACCGGUGGCGAAGGCGGGUCUCUGGGCAUCUCCUGACGCUGAGGCGCGAAAGCGUGGGGGAGCAAAUGGGAUUAGAUACCCCAGUAGUC